AGUGAAAGUUUUUUCAAACCGACGCUGAUGCUUAUCUUCCAUGCUGGACCUUUUCUAGAAGGUUUAUCUGCGUUUAUUUGCGUUUCACUUCGAACUGCACCGCAGCUUCCAGCGUCACGCACGGAUAACCGCGUCUUUUCCUGAAGCUCAGGUGUGUAAAGGAAGAAGAGGUUGGAGCCCCCAGACCCCCCGAGGCUGGAGGCCGGAACCUUCAAGAGAUGGAUUCACCUCCAAGGAGACGGAGACGGCACAGCAGAGACCAGCCGUUUGACCUGUCAGGUCUGGUCAAUAAACUUCAGCUGGAUUCAGAUUCUUUCACCUCGCUGCUCAACAGCAAUGAACCAAGGAUGAGGGAGAUCGUGGAGGAGCUUCUGAGGAUUUCUGAAGAAGUCAAAGACAUGCAGAGAGGAACAGAUGGUCUAAGAACAACCGGAGCAAAUGUCACUAACAUGAUGAGUGAGAGUGGAAGUGCUGAAGAGGUGAAGAAUCUGGGAGAAGAGUUGAUGAAGAUUGUUGAACCGAUGAAGCAGCUCUUGGUUCAAAUCCAUCAAACAUGUGAAGAUCUGGAGGAGAACGUCUCCAAGUAUCAGGCUGAAGAGUCCCUGAAAGAUGUGGAGGAUCUUCAGAAGGUCCUCCAUCAGGUGUCUGAGCUGAAGAAGAAGAGUGGAGGAGCUGUUCAUGUGGUGGCGGUGUUGAUUCAAUCAGUAACCGGCCUGCUGCUGCUGCUCGUGAACGUUUUCAGAGUCACUGCAACACCUGAAGAAGACCAGAAGCUGAGAGACGCCAUCAUUCAGUCAGCUGAUCAGAGCCAGAGGCUCACUGAGGACUUCUGUCUGAUGAGGGAGGAACUGGCAAAGUUCAGGAAGUGAAGAGAACACACACACACACACACACACACACACACACACACACACACACACACACACACACACACACACACACACACACACACACACACACACACACACAGCCCCUCCACUUCCUCCUGGAAGCUUCCUGGAUCUGUUCGUUCCUUCACUGUUUUGGAUUUCAUUCAGGUUUAAAGAAUAUUAACCCUGCACAGCUGAUGGGCCUGAUUCAGUUCCUAAAUCCUGCAGAUCCCAUCUUGUAGCGCUCCACAGACCAGUGGUUUCACUCAGUUAAAAUUUUACCAGCCCAAUCAGGGGAAAGAGGCGGGAGGAGCGGGAGGAGCGGACGUGUUGAGAAGACAUUCGUUCAAUCGCCAGCUCCUGAUUGUUUUGUUUCUUCCAUUUUCUUCUAGUUCCUGCUGACAUAUGAUGCUCUGUACAUAACCUGUUACAAAAGUACACAACAAAAUAAUAUUACGUACAAAUUAAACAUGUUUUAUUACUUCCUGCUCCUCUUCAGAUCUGUUUUCUUUGUAUUCUGUUCUUUGUUUUUCAACUCAUUUUUUAUGUUUGAAAUAAAUUCAUUCUUACAUUCA